GAUGAAGGCCUCUGCAAGGGACAUCCAGCGCCCUCCUUCCCCAGCGAUCUCCUCAACAGGACAGUGCGCCGCAGCAUUGCCUGGGCGUCGUCUCCUCUGACCAGCUCGCCGUACAAUCCUUGGAGCCGCCAAUUAUAGUUCGUCAGUGAGCUGCAGAGAUCAGCGACACGUUCAAGGGUUCUGGAGCCGGUGUACCACAAGCAGUCAAGACAACGGAGAUGGCAACAUGCUGAUCAAUCGGCAAUCGUCCAAUCUGCAAUUCAACAACACUUUGGAGCCCAGCAUCCAGGUGGACCUCGUGUUCCGUUGAUUGGUAUAGCUCUACCAGGAUUUGUGCCUCAGCAACAACUUGUCCCCAACAAUUCUGAUAUGGCUUGGCAUUAAGGGAAGAGGAAUUGGAGCUGUACGAGGACAUGCCGUGGUGGUGCUAUCUCGGAAUCGGCGACAAUUAUCUCAGGUGAUUCCUCAGGUUCCCCUUCGUUCGAGCUGUGGCUUCCUAUUUCGGCAAAUGAGUCCAUGCCCUGUUUCUGGCAACAUGGCUUAGUCGUCCAUUUGUUUAGGAACAAGAGGUUUUUUUUCUGGUACUGGAAUGUUCUUUGGUGAUUUAGGUUAGACACCUGGUCUCCAUGAGUUACAUGUUUUCUUCUUUGCAUUUUCUAUAAUUUUCCUUCGCUUUUUAAAUCAUACAUCCUACAUGAUGUUUAGUUCAGGAUUAUGCUUCUGUUCAUUGCAUUCGUGGCUCAUUAUUGGCUAUUGGAGAACUGUUGAGGAAACUUAAAGUUCAGUUUGCUGUGAUAUUCCGUACAAGUUUUUUCACAAUAUGCAUAUACUGAUGCAAGCACGUUUUUUGUUCUCUUGGUGACACUGGAGUACUACCCUCUACUUGGAGCUUGCCUACCUCUUCUACAACUACCGCAGGAUAACAUCAACUCAGCUCAGCCGAAGUCCCUCGCCGACUGGCUACGGAGGCCUCUGACUACAUUGGUCCCAGGCUUAUUAGGGUAGGUUGACAUGGCUCGGCCUCCCGAGUAGCUCCACCCGAUUCACUGAAGUCCCUCCCGGGCCGACUACGUGUGCCUCUAGCUGCUUUGGUCCUCGGUGGUGCUUAUGCUGCUGUUGUGCAAGGGUCUAUGUAAUGUUGUUUCGGUUGCAAUAUUCAAUAGUCUACAUCAUUUAUAGGUGGAGCCGAAUACACUGAAGAAUGUGGAGCACCCCACAGGAAGCUUGAAAGGCUGCUGUAGACGGAAGAAAUAAUUUUGAGCCUGACUGGCUUUGUCAGUGUGUCGACGGAAAGGCCUAGAAGGUGCAAUUUUCAAGCCGCUCAUCAUGAGAUGCCUCCAGGGGCUUCCCAUGAGGCAUGCGUGGUGGAAUGCAUGGCUUCGCUGGAGGACUGGGAAGUGGUAUGCCUCGCAGAAUGGGCGGUGGUAUCCCUGGAGUUGGAGUUGUAACCUAGUGAAGAAACCUGAUGGCAAAGAUUUGGUGACCAUGUGGUCAUGGCGGACAACACUCGCAUUGGGGGUUAAGUGGCGUUGGAUCUGGCCCGAAGGUCACCAUAGCCGUCGGAUCUGGCUGUCUGGCUCUGGUGGUGGUGGUGGUGGUGCUGGGCUGCUUCCCUCGCCUCACACGAGGUGGUAGGCCUGGCCGCCCCACGACUUCAACUACCUCGACUAUCACUUGGGCUCCUGCUGGUGCAUAAUCGCCGCACAUGUGGCAAUGGUGGGCCUUGUUACAUCGCUCGGUGUGUUCGGAUCACCUCAAGAUCAGAGCUGCGCCACCUUUGCGGCAUUCUCUUGCACAAUGGAGGGGCUAAACAAGCAAUAGACAGUGAUGACACCUAGCAGGAGUGUGUUGGCCUUUGAGGCAGUUGUGAGAUGUCGAGGAGGAGUAGCAUUGCUGUCCAAAAAUUUGAGACAAGGUUGAGGUCUGCAAAGGACUAAGGCGCCGCUGAUGUUGAGGUCUCCGAGCCCCCAAGAACCAAGACGAGCCAGGAGAUAAGGUGGAGCCGAAUGCACUGAAGAAUGUGGAGCACCGCAGGAAGCUUGACAGGCUGCUGUAGACGGAAGAAAUAAGUUUGAGUGUGACUAGCUUUGUUGGUGUGCCGACGGAAAAGCGAUUUUGUAAUUUAAUUAUGAGAAGGCCUAGAAGGUGCAAUUUUCAAGCCGCUCAUCAGGAGAUGCCUCCAGGGGCUUCCCAUGAGGCAUGCGUGGUGGAAGGCAUGGCUUUGCUGGAGGACUGGGAGAUGGUAUGCCUCGCAGAAUGGGCGGUGAUAUGCCUGGAGCUGGAGUUGCUCCCGGUACUAUCGGUAUGGAUGUCAUCCUAUAUUGGUUAAGUGGCGUUGGAUCUGACCCGGAGGUCACAAUAGCCUCCGGAUUUGGCUGUCUGGCUCUGGUGGUGGUGGUGGUGCUGGGCUGCUUCCCUCGCCUCACACAAAGGUGGUAGGCCUGGCCGCCCCAUGACUUCGACUACCUCGACUAUCUCUUGGGCUCAUGCUGGUGCAUAAUGGCCGCAACCGUGGCAAUGGUGGGCCUUGUUACAUGGCUCGGUGUUAUAGGUGAGUCCUCAAGUUCCCAUUUUUCUCAUCUAUGUGCUCUGUGAUGACGCUGGGAAGUUUCAUUACAGCUGUCACUACACUUUGUUCUGGCCGUUGGGCAGAUGACCUACUGGUUAGGUUUAGUGGUACUAGUUACAAAGAUUUGGUUAUGGUACCAAAAGUGACAUUUUAGCACUUUUUUGUGAUGGUAAUAAUUAGGGUAUGCUUGCUCUCGAGUGUGUUCUCGCUUGUAUCCUGAAUUCCUAAUUGUAGUGCACAUACUAUAUUUGUGGUCAUCCAAAAAAAUUUGUUGGUUCUAUUUA